rnacentral:rRNA from 1 species
AAACGGCAUUGAGUGCUUGCACUCUUUGGACGUCGACCGGCGCACGGGUGAGUAACGCGUAUCCAACCUUCCCAUUACUGUGGGAUAACCUGCCGAAAGGCAGACUAAUACCGCAUAGUCUUCGAUGACGGCAUCAGAUUUGAAGUAAAGAUUUAUCGGUAAUGGAUGGGGAUGCGUCUGAUUAGCUUGUUGGCGGGGUAACGGCCCACCAAGGCGACGAUCAGUAGGGGUUCUGAGAGGAAGGUCCCCCACAUUGGAAUUGAGACACGGUCCAAACUCUUACGGGAGGCAGCAGUGAGGAAUAUUGGUCAAUGGACGGAAGUCUGAACCAGCCAAGUAGCGUGCAGGAUGACGGCCCUAUGGGUUGUAAACUGCUUUUGUAUGGGGAUAAAGUUAGGGACGUGUCCCUAUUUGCAGGUACCAUACGAAUAAGGACCGGCUAAUUCCGUGCCAGCAGCCGCGGUAAUACGGAAGGUCCAGGCGUUAUCCGGAUUUAUUGGGUUUAAAGGGAGCGUAGGCUGGAGAUUAAGUGUGUUGUGAAAUGUAGACGCUCAACGUCUGAAUUGCAGCGCAUACUGGUUUCCUUGAGUACGCACAACGUUGGCGGAAUUCGUCGUGUAGCGGUGAAAUGCUCAGAUAUGACGAAGAACUCCGAUUGCGAAGGCAGCUGACGGGAGCGCAACUGACGCUUAAGCUCGAAGGUGCGGGUAUCAAACAGGAUUAGAUACCCUGGUAGUCCGCACAGUAAACGAUGGAUGCCCGCUGUUGGUACCUGGUAUCAGCGGCUAAGCGAAAGCAUUAAGCAUCC